rnacentral:rRNA from 1 species
UACGUAGGGUCCGAGCGUUAUCCGGAAUUAUUGGGCGUAAAGGGCUCGUAGGCGGUUUGUUGCGUCGGGAGUGAAAACCCAGGGCUUAACUCUGGGCUUGCUUCCGAUACGGGCAGACUUGAGGUAUUCAGGGGGAGAACGGAAUUCCUGGUGUAGCGGUGGAAAUGCGCAAGAUAUCAGGAGGAACACCGGUGGCGAAGGCGGUUCUCUGGGAAUUACCUGACGCUGAGGAGCGAAAGUGUGGGGAGCGAACAGG